rnacentral:rRNA from 1 species
UGGAAGUAAAAGUCGUAACAAGGUCUCCGUUGGUGAACCAGCGGAGGGAUCAUUACCGAGUUUACAACUCCCAAACCCAAUGUGAACGUUACCAAACUGUUGCCUCGGCGGGAUCUCUGCCCCGGGUGCGUCGCAGCCCCGGACCAAGGCGCCCGCCGGAGGACCAACCAAAACUCUUUUUGUAUACCCCCUCGCGGGUUUUUUUAUAAUCUGAGCCUUCUCGGCGCCUCUCGUAGGCGUUUCGAAAAUGAAUCAAAACUUUCAACAACGGAUCUCUUGGUUCUGGCAUCGAUGAAGAACGCAGCGAAAUGCGAUAAGUAAUGUGAAUUGCAGAAUUCAGUGAAUCAUCGAAUCUUUGAACGCACAUUGCGCCCGCCAGUAUUCUGGCGGGCAUGCCUGUCCGAGCGUCAUUUCAACCCUCGAACCCCUCCGGGGGGUCGGCGUUGGGGAUCGGCCCUCCCUUAGCGGGUGGCCGUCUCCGAAAUACAGUGGCGGUCUCGCCGCAGCCUCUCCUGCGCAGUAGUUUGCACACUCGCAUCGGGAGCGCGGCGCGUCCACAGCCGUUAAACACCCAACUUCUGAAAUGUUGACCUCGGAUCAGGUAGGAAUACCCGCUGAACUUAAGCAUAUCAAUAAGCGGAGGA